rnacentral:rRNA from 1 species
UACGUAGGGGGCAAGCGUUGUCCGGAAUCAUUGGGCGUAAAGCGCGCGUAGGCGGCCCGGUAAGUCCGCUGUAAAAGUCCAGGGCUCAACCCUGGAAAGCCGAUGGAUACUGUGUGGCUAGAGUACGGAAGAGGCGAGUGGAAUUCCUGGUGUAGCGGUGGAAUGCGCAGAUAUCAGGAGGAACACCAAUAGCGAAGGCAGCUCGCUGGGACGUUACUGACACUGAGGCGCGAAAGCGUGGGGAGCGAACAGG